rnacentral:rRNA from 1 species
UACAGAGGGGGCAAGCGUUGUUCGGAAUUACUGGGCGUAAAGGGCGCGUAGGCGGCCUUCUAAGUCGAACGUGAAAUCCCCGGGCUCAACCCGGGAACUGCGUCCGAUACUGGAAGGCUUGAAUCCGGGAGAGGGAUGCGGAAUUCCAGGUGUAGCGGUGAAAUGCGUAGAUAUCUGGAGGAACACCGGUGGCGAAGGCGGCAUCCUGGACCGGCAUUGACGCUGAGGCG